AUCAAAUUCACAAUGACUGGACAACACUAAUAUAAAAGACAGAAAGAAGGAAAACUAAAGAAAUAGUAUGUAUGAAACAGCAUGCUGAGUUCUGAUCUGAAUUCAGUUUGGCAGUUUAUUCUGAUGUCAGAGAAAAGGCCUAAUAGGAGCAGAAACUUGCAACCAAAUGAUCCAUUAUUAUUCCUCUGCAGAGUACACAUUUCAUACAUUUUUAUAAUGCGGAUAUUAACGUCUGUGCGCAUAAAUCUCAGCCUGAUAUUCAUAUUUUUUCUUACGUCAGCUCGGCGGUUGCGGUUGUGGUUGUGGCAGCCGCUGUCAGCCCAGAGAUGUCAAAGUCACAGUGACAUCAGUCUGAGAUGACUGCUGGGCAGAGGUCUGUGAAACAGCAGCAGAGGUGAUCAUUUAGCAAUGACAUGUCACCAUAAUAAGAGAAAAACGGCACAGAUUAUCACUUCAGCACAUGGCGGCGAGAGGUCGGCUGUAGCAACAAGCCAGCAGGCGGCAAAGUCCUGCAGAAUCAAGGUCUCUGCUUCUGUUUCUCUAAGUGUAAGCAGCAAAGUCUGGAGCGUGGGUACGUGAAAAUAACUGCACUUCCUUGAGUGUCCACUAGAGGCUGAAUCAAAUCACUGUCAGACUUCCUGCUAAAA